AAUCCCAGGACCCUGAGAUCAUGACCUGAGCCAAAGGCAGACUCGCUUAACCAACUGAGCCACUCAGGCAUUCCUGGACUCUGAUUUUUAAAACCCCAUGAGUGAAGUCUUCCUCUUGGGCUACAGAUGAAACACUAGCUAAGGCUAAAUAACCAUAUACUAAUAAGUAGAUAUGUGUAGUUCAUAUUGUGCAGGGAAACUGAACAGCUUCAUUUACUAAGGAAAGGGGGGGUUAGGAGAGAAAGGCUCUUCAACAUAGGCAGUGGCCCCUGAGUCACUCACUGAUUCUGGGGGACUCAAGGGGAUAUAUUCCACCUACUCAACUGAUAAAUCAUUAUUUGCCAUCAACUAGUUUCAUCAAACGUUAUCACUGGUCUUUUAUGUAAAGGAUUACAAAACUCUCUGGUUCUCUAAACUUGGAAUUACCAAAAUUUCGGUUUGGGUUUAAACGUGCUUCUUAGCUUUGCCCACUGAAGCAGUUCAUGGUUCUCCAGUAAACAAAAAACACAAUCAGUAUGUGAAAUGCAUGUGGUUUAGGGUAACUGACUCUCAGUUCAGUUAUUAGUUGGGAAAAUAAACUUUUUUUUUUUUUUAAGAUUUUAUUUAUUUGACAGAGAGCGAAAGAGGGAACACAAGCAGGGGGAGUGGGAGAGGGAGAAUCAGGCCUCCUGCUGAGCAGGGAGACCCUUAACGACUGAGCCACUCAGGCGUCCCUAAACAUUUUUCUAUGUCUCAGUUUCUUGAUCUGUGAAACAAUGAUGUGCUAUGUAGUAUGUAGCACUGUUGUUAAGGAUUAAGUGAGAUGCUAUACUCAAAGGACAUGCAACACAGGUGUUCAACAAAUGCUCUCACCCUCUUUCUUGCAAAGAGGUCUUACAGAAGCCAGAUAGAAACAUUUAAAACAAUUCCUUUUUUGUGAAUUCAGCCACAAAAAUAUCCACAAUUAAAGGAUUUUUGAACAAGUUUUUGUUGCAGAUUAUAACUAGUAUUUGAUUAUUAGUCUACACAAAGGAAAAUUCUUGCAACUUGGAAUCUAUUAAAAAUUCAACCACUCCUGAGUUGAAUUUGAUUUUGCAAUGAACUACAAUAGAAGGGCAGUUCUGCUAAGCAAAUACUACAACAGGAUAGCAAAAGACUUUGCCACGUCUACCUAAGACAGUAAUCUCUUGAAUAAAUAGUAACUUUAAACUAUUUGUUUAAAAAUAAUUUCCAGUUUACAGAAAAGUGGCAAGAAUAGUAUGCCCUUUACCUGGAUUCCCUCAUUGUUAAAUGUCCCGUUUGCUUUAUCAUCUCUCUAAAUACAGGCCUUUUUUUCUCAACUAGGAAUAAGUUACUUAUAUCACACUUCUAAAUACUUGAUUUCCUAAGAAUAUGUACAUUUUCUUAUAAAAUCGGGUAAGUUAUCAACUUCAGAAAAUUUAACAUGGUUAUGGUACUUUAUCACCCAUAGUCCAGUUCUGUUAACAGACCUAUUAUGGUCCUUUAUAGCAUUUUCCCCCCUCUACUACCAAAAUCUAGCCCAGAAUCCCCUAUUGCUCAGUAAAUAAUAUACGCUGUUAUUUCAAAGAGAUUAGAAAAUUAAACUACAAAAAUUCAGUUGACUUAAGUUAUGCUCCAGCAUUUUAAAUGUCCUUUCCUUUUCAUUAAAAAAAUUUAUAUCAGCAACGCUAUUUCUACAGUUCCAAAUAAUUUAUCAAAACAAUCUUUAAAUCUCAAAAAAAGUACGGAAGAACGAAAAAACCGAACCUCCUUAAAAAUGAAGACAAUCAAUACGAAUUCCAACAAAAUUGUUGGGCCAUAUUUUAUGCAUCUUUGACACUACCUCAGAACUUAAGACAGAUCAAGGACACACUCGAAUUUUUGUACUUGAGUUUUUUUUUUAAACAAUGAGCACACAUUUCUCAUUUAAUAAUAAAAUAAAAUAAGCCAAGGAAAAUAAAGAAAGCCAGAUGACGGGCUGAAUUUUUGAUGUGCGGGGUUAACCUGAAUGUCGAAGUUCAUCCGUUUGUACUUUGGUUUGUUCGCCUGAAGAUGGUGACACCUUCCCCCAACUUACGCAGCGAGACGUCAGAAAGGUUUAGUAGUCACUGAACUACUAUUUCAGGGAGAAAGCCAACAGAAAUGGUUGUCACAGACCAGAAAAACCCCUCCCGUGAACCGGCUGGCAGAGGGAAGGUUAACGGUUCCGCCUACCACGGGGUGACGGAUCGCGUCCUCGCUCCGGAUCAGCCCCUCCCAGUGACGUUGCCUGUGCCCUUACCUGUCCCUGCAGCGCCACCUCUGGGCCGUCAGGAAUACAGCGGGUUCUUCUAGCACCACGGAAGAGGGCAUAGAAAAUGGACAACGUGUGAUUCGAUGGAAUAGAAUAUCUUUAAAAAACUCCGGUUGCUAAACUAUGCUACUUAAUCCUGAUACAUCAGUAAAACUUGGCCAGAGCAAGUUCCAUUCUUCUGGAGCCCAGAAGACUAGGUAGCAUGACACGUGUAAAUUGAAAUUCAUCCCAAGUGGAGCUUGAACUCUCUUGAUAUUUCUGAUUUGGUUGGAAUUAUGGCGCUUUUCUUUUAGGCCAAUAUAAGUACAUUUCCUGCAACUGUUUUUGUAGUGGAAGGAGAAGAGCCUCUAUAUUCUUUUCACCUACUCACUU